rnacentral:tRNA from 1 species
AUAUAAGUAAGCUAAAAAAAAGCUUUUAGGUUCAUACCCUAAAUAUAGAGCUCCGCACUCUCUUAUUUA